GACAGAGGGGGCAAGCGUUGUCCGGAUUGACUGGGCGUACAGCGCGCGCAGGCGGCAGGGUAUGUGCCCGGUGACAUCCCACGGCUCAACCGUGGGCGGCCCGAGUACACAGCCGUGCUGGAGAGCGAGAGAGGGUCGUGGAAUGCCCGGUGGAGCGGUGAAAUGCGUAGAGAUCGGGCGGAACACCAGCGGCGAAGGCGGCGACCUGGCUCGUAUCUGACGCUGAGGCGCGAGAGCGUGGGGAGCGAACGGG
rnacentral:rRNA from 1 species